rnacentral:rRNA from 1 species
UGGGGAAUUGUUCGCAAUGGGCGCAAGCCUGACGACGCAACGCCGCGUGGAGGAUGAAGAUUUUCGGAUCGUAAACUCCUGUCGAAUGGGACGAACAGAUAGCGGGUUAAGAGCCCGCAAUCCUGACGGUACCGUUAAAGGACACCCCGGCUAACUCCGUGCCAGCAGCCGCGGUAAUACAGAGGGGGCAAGCGUUGUUCGGAAUUACUGGGCGUAAAGGGCGCGUAGGUGGCCUGCUAAGUCGAACGUGAAAUCCCUGGGCUCAACCCAGGAACUGCGUCCGAUACUGGUUGGCUUGAAUCCGGGAGAGGGAUGUGGAAUUCCAGGUGUAGCGGUGAAAUGCGUAGAUAUCUGGAGGAACACCGGUGGCGAAGGCGACAUCCUGGACCGGUAUUGACGCUGAGGCGCGAAAGCCAGGGGAGCAAA